AUCCAUUUGAUGAGUUCCAAGUAGGACGGAACGCGCGUCCUGUAU
rnacentral:hammerhead_ribozyme from 1 species